rnacentral:rRNA from 1 species
AUUGAACGCUGGCGGCAGGCUUAACACAUGCAAGUCGAGCGGAGAUGAGGUGCUUGCACCUUAUCUUAGCGGCGGACGGGUGAGUAAUGCUUAGGAAUCUGCCUAUUAGUGGGGGACAACAUUCCGAAAGGAAUGCUAAUACCGCAUACGCCCUACGGGGGAAAGCAGGGGAUCUUCGGACCUUGCGCUAAUAGAUGAGCCUAAGUCGGAUUAGCUAGUUGGUGGGGUAAAGGCCUACCAAGGCGACGAUCUGUAGCGGGUCUGAGAGGAUGGUCCGCCACACUGGGACUGAGACACGGCCCAGACUCCUACGGGAGGCAGCAGUGGGGAAUAUUGGACAAUGGGCGGAAGCCUGAUCCAGCCAUGCCGCGUGUGUGAAGAAGGCCUUUUGGUUGUAAAGCACUUUAAGCGAGGAGGAGGCUUACCUGGUUAAUACCUGGGAUAAGUGGACGUUACUCGCAGAAUAAGCACCGGCUAACUCUGUGCCAGCCGCCGCGGUAAAAC